GUACUUGGGUCCUUGGGGGUUAGUCAUUCCACUAUCCAAUUUCCAUAUGCUACCAUAUCCAAGAUGCAAUUUUCUAAUAGAGCACUUAUAGUUGGUGUGACCAAACUUGCCACAAUAGUGACAAUGACCAUUGAACCUUCUUACUCUAGGUCCAUAGGUGAGUGAGUGUGUUUGAGUUCUCAUGUGGCCAUUUCUCCUUUGCUUAUUAAAAGCAUGUGAGCAAGAGAUAUGAUUGGAGUGGUGAUUUUGUG
rnacentral:lncRNA from 1 species